GACGAACCGUCCUAACGUUAUUCGGAAUCACUGGGCUUAAAGGGCGCGUAGGCGGGAUCGUAAGUCAGGGGUGAAAUCCCACGGCUCAACCGUGGAAGUGCCUUUGAUACUGCGGACCUCGAGGUGGGCAGGGGCGUGCGGAACUUCCGGUGGAGCGGUGAAAUGCGUAGAUAUCGGAAGGAACACCGGUGGCGAAAGCGGCACGCUGGGCCCGUACUGACGCUGAGGCGCGAAAGCCAGGGUAGCAAACGGG
rnacentral:rRNA from 1 species